rnacentral:rRNA from 1 species
UAUCUUCCGCAAUGGACGAAAGUCUGACGGAGCAACGCCGCGUGAGUGAUGAAGGUCUUCGGAUCGUAAAACUCUGUCGUUAGGGAAGCACAAGUAUCGUUCUAAUAGGGCGGUCCCUUGGCGGUACCUAACCGGAUAGCUACGGCUAAUUACGUGCCAGCAGCUGUGGUAAUACGGAGGUGGCAAGCGUUAUCCGGAAUUAUUGGGCGUAAAGCGCGAGCAGGCGGUUUCUUAAGGCUGAUGUGAAAGCCCGCGGCUCAACCGUGGAGGGUCAUUGGAAACUGGGAAGCUUGAGUGCAGAAGAGGAGAGUGGAAUACCAUGUGUAGGGGUGAAAUGCGUAGAGAUAUGGAGGAACACAAGUGGCGAAGGCGACUCUCUGGUCUGCAACUGACGCUGAGGCGCGAAAGCGUGGGGAGCGAACA